ACUGCUUUUCUUUGAUGUCCCCAAAUAUUGAGGAGCCCGAUAGUUUCAACCCCUUUUGGUGAAAUAACUGUCGGGUUUUUUAUU
rnacentral:sRNA from 2 species